GGUGAACGCUGGCGGCGUGCCUAACACAUGCAAGUCGAGCGUGCAGUUUGAAGCUUCGGUGGAAAGCUGCAUAGCGGCGGACGGGUGAGGAAAACGUAGGAACGUGCCCCUUGGAGUUGGAUAGCCACGGGAAACUGUGGGUAAACCGACAUAGACUACGAGAGAGUAAAGGCCGAAAGGCGCCAAGGGAGCGGCCUGCGGCCCAUCAGGUAGUUGGUAGUGUAAAGGGACUACCAAGCCGACGACCGGGUAGCCGGUCUGAGAGGAUGGCCGGCCACAAGGGCACUGAGAGACGGGCCCUACUCCUACGGGAGGCAGCAGUGGGGGAUUUUGGACGAAUGGGCGAAAGCCUGAUCCAGCGACGCCGCGUGGAGGACGAAGCCCUUCGGGGUGUAAACUCCUUUUCUCAGGGAAAAAGGAUGAUGGUACCUGAGGAAUAAGCCCCGGCUAACUACGUG
rnacentral:rRNA from 1 species